rnacentral:tRNA from 2 species
GCCGGCAUAGCACAGUGGUAGUGCAGCGGUUUUGUAAACCGAAGGUCGCGAGUUCAAAUCUUGCUGCCGGCACCA